UACGUAGGGUGCGAGCGUUAAUCGGAAUUACUGGGCGUAAAGCGUGCGCAGGCGGUUUUGUAAGCCAGGUGUGAAAUCCCCGGGCUCAACCUGGGAAUGGCAUUUGGGACUGCAAGGCUGGAGUGCGGCAGAGGAGACUGGAAUUCCUGGUGUAGCAGUGAAAUGCGUAGAUAUCAGGAGGAAUACCGGUGGCGAAGGCGGCAUCCUGGACCGGUAUUGACACUGAGGCGCGAAAGCCAGGGGAGCAAACGGG
rnacentral:rRNA from 1 species